rnacentral:rRNA from 1 species
UACGUAGGGGGCAAGCGUUGUCCGGAAUUAUUGGGCGUAAAGCGCGUGUAGGCGGUCCGGUAAGUCGGUUGUGAAAGUCCAGGGCUCAACCCUGGGAUGCCGACCGAUACUGUCGGACUAGAGUUCGGAAGAGGCGAGUGGAAUUCCCGGUGUAGCGGUGAAAUGCGCAGAUAUCGGGAGGAACACCAAUGGCGAAGGCAGCUCGCUGGGAAGUUACUGACGCUGAGACGCGAAAGCGUGGGGAGCAAACAGG